AGAGUUUGAUCCUGGCUCAGGAUGAACGCUGGCGGCGUGCUUAAGACAUGCAAGUCGAACGGAUAUGCCACUCAAAGCUUCGGUGGAGAGUGGAGUUACAUAUUAGUGGCGAACGGGUGAGUAAUGCAUAGGCAAUCUGCCCUUCAGACGGGGACAACCUCGAGAAAUCGAGGCUAAUACCGGAUAUGCUCACGGUGUGGCAUCACACAGUGAGGAAAUCAAUUUGGCUGAAGGAGGGGCUUAUGUCUGAUUAGCUUGUUGGCGGGGUAAUAGCCCACCAAGGCGACGAUCAGUAGCUGGUCUGAGAGGAUGAACAGCCACACUGGGACUGAGAUACGGCCCAGACUCCUACGGGAGGCAGCAGUCGGGAAUAUUGCGCAAUGGGCGAAAGCCUGAUGCAGCGACGCCGUGUGAACGACGAAGUCCUUCGGGAUGUAAAGUUCUGUCAGUGGGGAAGAUUAUGACGGUACCCACAGAAGAAGCACCGGCAAACUAUGUGCCAGCAGCCGCGGUAAUACAUAGGGUGCGAGCGUUAUUCGGAUUUAUUGGGCGUAAAGAGCACGUAGGUGGUUUAUUAAGUUAGAAGUUAAAGCGUUGAGCUCAACUCAAUUACGCUUCUAAGACUGAUAGACUAGAGUUUAGGAGAGGGAAGGAGAACUCACAGUGUAGCGGUGAAAUGCGUAGAUAUUGUGAGGAAUACCAGUGGCGAAGGCGCCUUCCUGGACUAAAACUGACACUGAGGUGCGAAAGCGUGGGGAGCAGACAGGAUUAGAUACCCUGGUAGUCCACGCCGUAAACAAUGUUCACUAGGUGUAGGAGGUAUCGACCCCCCCUGUGCCGAAGCUAACGCGUUAAGUGAACCGCCUGGGGAGUACGGCCGCAAGGCUAAAACUCAAAGGAAUUGACGGGGGCCCGCACAAGCAGUGGAUCAUGUGGUUUAAUUCGACGAUACGCGAAGAACCUUACCUAGACUUGACAUCCUCCGAAUCCCCUAGAGAUAGGGGAGUGCCUUCGGGAAUGGAGAGACAGGUGGUGCAUGGCUGUCGUCAGCUCGUGUCGUGAGAUGUUGGGUUAAGUCCCGCAACGAGCGCAACCCCUAUCGUAUGUUGCUACAGUUUAGCUGAGGACUCAUACGAGACCGCCCAUGGAAAGUGGGAGGAAGGUUGGGAUGACGUCAAGUCCUCAUGCCCCUUACGUCUAGGGCUACACACAUGAUACAAUGGCCGGUACAACGAGCAGCUAAACAGCGAUGUUAAGCAAAUCUCAAAAAACCGGUCUCAAUUCGGAUUGUAGGCUGCAACUCGCCUACAUGAAGUUGGAAUUGCUAGUAAACGCAGAUCAGCACGCUGCGUUGAAUACGUUCCCGGGCCUUGUACACACCGCCCGUCACACCAUGAAAGCCAGAAAUGCCCGAAGUCGCUGUGCUAACCGCAAGGAGGCAGGUGCCGAAGGCAGCGCUGGUGAUUGGGGUGAAGUCGUAACAAGGUA
rnacentral:rRNA from 1 species